GGAAAACAAAAACAUUUCGUAGUACAGAACAAGCCAACAAAAACAUUUCAACACUAAAGUAAAACUGUAGCAAGCACAAUGGUUACACUACACUGUUUAGAUACCUAAUUGCUAAUUUAGGUUAUGCGGCUGAUGGAACCAAAAAAUAUAUAAAGAAUCUAUUUUCAAGUACUCCCUGGAACCAAAAAAUAUAUAAAGAAUCUAUUUUCAAGUACUCCCUCUGUAAACGGUCCAGUCCUAGCUAUGAGGACAUUACACAUCAGUAAGUUCCAUGGAGACGGUCUCCUUUCCUAUACCUAAACUAUGUAUAUAUGCCUCCAUGGAGAAGGACGAAGACGACACGACCCACAUCACCACAACACAGUUCUAGUUUCCUUGGUCCAUCCCCUUGCUUCUCUUCAGGUCUCUCUACCUUGGUGUUGUCAUGCUACUCCUGCGUUCCAGUCUAACAUUUAGCCAAUAUAAACUCACUGCUCUCUGUACAAGAGAGCAGUAAUAGGGUACAGAAGAAAAACUGGAACUUCACUUAUCCACUGAAGUGUGUAAAGCCCAGCUCUGAAUUUUUGGUUGCACCGCUAAUCAUCAUCCAUCUCAAAGAAUAGGCAAAAUCUGCAACAAUAUGAAUGGCCUUAGAAUUAACUGUUGCAAGAAUAAAGGAUGUACAUCUACAACUACAGCAGAAUUAACUGUUAUGAAUUUUUUUUGCAGGAGUGAACAUGAGCUUUGUAGUUCUAUGUUUAUUUUAUGGAGCAGUACUGGCAUUAUUAAAAACAAUCCUGUUAGUAUUAUCAUUUUUCAGGUCUUCAAGAAACACAUCUCUUCUGUGCUAGAUCUAGAUACGCCCCCGAGCGUAGUAUAAGUUAUUUGAAAUCGUGGAAAAGCAACCUGAAAAUUGUCUGAAGGCAUGAAGACCAGAAUUCAGAGUAAACGGUUGUAAAAUACCAAGAAGCACUUCAUGGAAUAUAUUUGAUUACUCAGCAUUAAACAACCAAACAAGAGUAGUAAAAAAUGACCAAGGAUGAUUUUAGCAGGCAUUUUAUGAAAAUAAUCUAGCCUCAUUGUACUGAACACUGAAAUGAAUCAUCAACUAAGAAUUUUAAAUUCCUGCUGAAAUCCUAUUGGGAUUCAAAUUUAGGGCAAAAGAAACCUUGCAUUGUUCAUCGAAGGGUAAAAUUCUCAGGGAAUCUUGAUUCUGGACCACUCAAAUAUCAUGGAGGUUGUACCAUAUCCAUUCAGUAAAAUCUAUAACAAAAGAAAUGUACGCAUACAUAUCAGGAUGAAAUUCCUCAUAUAGAUCAUUAUAACUAAGGCAACAAAUAAUAUUUCAGGCUAGUACCGUGUAUGCUUUAAUCAUAGUAUUUUUCACUGCAAAUAAUAUUUGCUCUUUGUCAAAACAUACGGGAAUGUAAGGAAAAAGUCAUACACAAGGGGAAGAGAAAAACGUAAUGUAACAUUCUUCAAGCCAAAUAAACAUUAGUAGAAUCCUACAGGAGAGACUCACCAUAAAAUUGGUUCCAUUCUUUGAAUAACCACUUCAUGCAAAAUCCCUUACAAUAUAUUCAGACCAAUCCAUCAACCAAAAAAUUGUAGUGUUCUUCACCACUGAACUCUGAUUCAAGAACUGAAGGGUAUGUCAAUUGCAUAUACUAUAUUGCAUGUUUUCAUCUGUCUUUUCCCCUCCAAAUGAUAAUUUUCUCCUUGCCAAAAGACACGAGAAUGCAAGCAAAAAGGUCCUGCAGAAAUAAGGUGAGAGAAAUGCAUCCUGUUACAGCCUUACAUGUGAAGCAAAAUAAGCAUUUUGUAGUAAGCAUAUAUGGUAAACUACAAUCUUCAGAUAACCACAUUGGGCAAUCAUUUACAAUCAAUUCAACCGACUAAUCAGUCAAUUCGACACCAGACAGUAAAGAUAAACACAAGUUACUAAAAACUUUUGAACCACAGAUGCCUUGUGCUUAAUCCAUAUAAUAAGACCCACGAGGCAAUGCAGAAUAAAAAUAGUAGCUCUAUAUCUUAACCAAACCACAGUGCAAAUAUUUUCCACAAAUAUCACAGUGAGCGGGAUAAGAACAACAUGAUAAAAACAGCAGCUCUGCAUCUUAAUCGGAAGUUCAUCCCUACCUCGACUCCCUGUCCGCCGCCACCUCCUCCUGGAUCUCAUCGCCGGUAGCACACCGCAGUCGGCCAGCCAGCAAUCAACACCAAAUGCACGUUGGCGCCAAACAAUGGACUUAAACCAGAAAGUUGGUCUAACAUUACAUCAUCAUGCAAAUAUAUGCACUGGAGGGUGGGUACCCAGUAAAAGGACACCCUGAAAAUGGAAAUGCAAUACGGUUAGCAUUGAAACCCUCAUUGCAAAAGAACCACCGGAAGGCCUCAACUUUCUGGACAAAACUGGGUACUCCAUUCCACUUGGAAUGUACUGGCAGUAUGGCCUGAAUACACACAAAUGAGUUAUGUAAGACACAAAGGCAAUUGUAUUUUGUUGUGCAGCAUCAUUUACCUAGCACAAAACAUUUUUUAAAAAGUGUGUUUCCGUCUUUCUGUUAGCAAUUAUUUGUCGAAUAGGAAUGUAAAAGCUAUAUUUAAAAUGGCAGGGUCUUAAUAAAAUACAAUUAGAUAGAGCAGCUCAGAUGAAUCAAUAACAUCCCUGCUUUUACGAAUCCAAUUCUUGGAACUCUUGGUAUAUUGCUAUCUCUAUCCAGUCUAAAUGUACGCUCGCAACAUCAUCUUGCGAAGUAAAAGAUUGGAUGCAUCCUAAGUGCAUAACAUGAUCUAUGAAAACAAUUUUACACAAAGCAUAUGAACCAACUUGAACUAUUCAACCACCCAUUGCCAUUUUCUGAACUUAAUCCAGAAAAGUGGCUACAUAUAGCUAAAAUCAAAGAGAAACUAUGAGGCUGCAGAAGAGCAUCGUCUCCUCAUGCCUCGUUUCCUGAGAAGAAGAUAAAAGGGAAGGGUUUGCGAACACACAACCAUGGCACGCCUCAUCGAUGAAUCAGGGGCCAAGGGGAGGAGGCCGCACGGAGUAAGAAAGAGAUUGGGUGAAGCUCACCUCGGUGUUGGCAACAGAAGCGGUCGCCAUCGCUCCUCGUGUGCGCAUCUCCCCCAAUCCGCGCCCCUGGCCUUGACCGCCGCGCCCGCUGCCUGCCGAGC
rnacentral:lncRNA from 1 species